rnacentral:rRNA from 1 species
GACGAACGCUGGCGGCGUGCCUAACACAUGCAAGUCGAGCGGGAUCCAUCUGGUGGCAACACCGGGGAAGAUCUAGCGGCGAACGGGUGAGUAACACGUGAGAAACCUGCCCCGAACUUCGGGAUAACACGGGGAAACCCGUGCUAAUACCGAAUACCCUCUACCGGUCGCAUGGCCGGAAGCGGAAAGCUUCAUCGGUUCGGGAGGGUCUCGCGGCCUAUCAGCUAGUUGGAGGGGUAACGGACCACCAAGGCAUCGACGGGUAGCUGGUCUGAGAGGACGAUCAGCCACACUGGGACUGGGACACGGCCCAGACUCCUACGGGAGGCAGCAGUGGGGAAUCUUGCGCAAUGGGCGAAAGCCUGACGCAGCAACGCCGCGUGCGGGAUGAAGGCCUUCGGGUUGUAAACCGCUUUCAGCAGGGAAGAAAAUGACGGUACCUGCAGAAGAAGCCCCGGCCAACUACGUGCCAGCCGCCGCAGUAA